rnacentral:lncRNA from 1 species
GUUUCCCGGACUUCUCAGAUAAACCCUCUGCAAUCUCUUGGGUUCCUUUCUCCGUUCCUUCUUUAAGAACAUUCUCAAAGCUUUCCUCUAUUGGCAUCGGCUUGGUCUCCACAUCUGCUUUUGUUAUUUCUUGGUCUUCAAUUUCAAUUUCUAAGGAUUCCUCAAUUGGAAGGUGACACCUCCCCAUCCUGACUUGAUGAUUUCUUCACAGCUGAGCACUGACAACACAUCCUUCCCUGGGCUUAUUCCAUCUGAGAGGGAGAUGCACAUGUAUGAUUUCUUCUACGGUCAUUCUGAAGAUCGGUGUCAUCAAUAAUUUGUGCUUGGGACUAUCCAGUUUCACAGGGGCAUUCAGUUGAUUGAAAAUCCAAUAUCAAUAUUGUUUAUAGUAUCAAAACAAUCUACCGAUCAAAGUCUCUAAAAUUACUACAAAAACCUAUUUGAUAUCCUAUGGCAUUGCCCCAGUAAAUGUGUAUGCCAGAAAAUCAAUGUCCUAGGCAUUGACUCCUAA